rnacentral:rRNA from 1 species
GGGCGUUAAGUUGCAGGGUAUAGACCCGAAACCCGGUGAUCUAGCCAUGGGCAGGUUGAAGGUUGGGUAACACUAACUGGAGGACCGAACCGACUAAUGUUGAAAAAUUAGCGGAUGACCUGUGGCUGGGGGUGAAAGGCCAAUCAAACCGGGAGAUAGCUGGUUCUCCCCGAAAGCUAUUUAGGUAGCGCCUCGUGAAUUCAUCUCCGGGGGUAGAGCACUGUUUCGGCUAGGGGGCCAUCCCGGCUUACCAACCCGAUGCAAACUGCGAAUACCGGAGAAUGUUAUCACGGGAGACACACGGCGGGUGCUAACGUCCGUCGUGAAGAGGGAAACAACCCAGACCGCCAGCUAAGGUCCCAAAGUCAUGGUUAAGUGGGAAACGAUGUGGGAAGGCCCAGACAGCCAGGAUGUUGGCUUAGAAGCAGCCAUCAUUUAAAGAAAGCGUAAUAGCUCACUGGUCGAGUCGGCCUGCGCGGAAGAUGUAACGGGGCUAAACCAUGCACCGAAGCUGCGGCAGCGAACGUAUCACUUAAAGCGAUUCAGCGGAUGACGAUUGACGGAGCGAAGCGACGUCAAAGCGUA